GAUGGCACUUUGGCAAAAUUCUUGAAGAAACCUGGUGACAGAGUUGAAGUUGAUGAGCUCAUUGCCCAGAUUGAAACUGACAAGGUGACCAUUGAUGUAGCUAGUCCCGAAGCUGGUGUUAUCCAGAAGUUAGUAGCCAAGGAAGGUGAAACGGUGGAACCAGGUACCAAGAUUGCUGUCAUUUCAAAAUCAGCAGAAGCAGUAACACAAACUGCACCACAAGAAAAGGCAGCUCCAGAGACUCCCCCUCCUGCAAAAAAGGAGAGUGAAAAAA
rnacentral:misc_RNA from 1 species